CACGUAGGGGGCAAGCGUUGUCCGGAAUUAUUGGGCGUAAAGAGCUCGUAGGCGGCUCGGUAAGUCAGGUGUCAAAUCCUCAGGCUCAACCUGGGGGCUCCACCUGAUACUGCUGUGGCUAGAGUCCGGUAGGGGAGCGUGGAAUUCCUGGUGUAGCGGUGAAAUGCGCAGAUAUCAGGAGGAACACCAGCGGCGAAGGCGGCGCUCUGGGGCCGGAACUGACGCUGAGGAGCGAAAAGCGUGGGUAGCAAAACAGG
rnacentral:rRNA from 1 species